rnacentral:tRNA from 1 species
UUAUACGUGGCAUGGUGGUUUGAGUGCUGGACUGGGACUCUGGAAACCAGGGUUCGAUUCCCAGCUCAGCCA